UGACAACUUCUCCGGAAUCUCUGUACUACCAUGAUGAUAUCCUUUUGAACCCCUUUUUCUGAUGACUGUCUGGC